UACGUAGGGGUCUAGCGUUGUCCGGAAUUAUUGGGCGUAAAGAGCUCGUAGGCGGUUCGGCAAGUCGGAUGUGAAAUCUCCACGCUUAACGUGGAGGGCCAUUCGAAACUGCCGUGACUCGAGUCCGGUAGGGGAGUUCGGAAUUCCCGGUGUAGCGGUGAAAUGCGCAGAUAUCAGGAAGAACACCCGGUGGCGAAGGCGGGUCUCCUGG
rnacentral:rRNA from 1 species